rnacentral:rRNA from 1 species
UACGAAGGGUGCAAGCGUUAAUCGGAAUUACUGGGCGUAAAGCGUGCGUAGGCGGUGAGUUAAGUCUGUUGUGAAAUCCCCGGGCUCAACCUGGGAAUGGCAAUGGAUACUGGCUCGCUAGAGUGUGAUAGAGGAUGGUGGAAUUCCCGGUGUAGCGGUGAAAUGCGUAGAGAUCGGGAGGAAUACCGGUGGCGAAGGCGGCAUCCUGGACCGGCAUUGACGCUGAGGAGCGAAAGCCAGGGGAGCAAAGCGGG